rnacentral:lncRNA from 1 species
AUUUUGUAAGACAAUCUCAAGAAAUGAUAUCAAGUAUUAAUAAAACCCGCUUAUUGAUAUUAGCAUAAAUGCAAAGCCAAGUAAUAUUAUCAGUAUCGAUGCUGGAACAGUUCCAUCACAUGCUCUUCACAUCUCUGUUUAUCUCUUUCAGGUGAUCUCAAAGAAAAAUGCUCAAGGGGAGUUCAGGGACCAGAGAUUUAAUGGUUGCAGUUUUAUAGUCUUUAUCAGACCAUCAAGGCUGUAAUAGAAAGAUAGGAGUUAUCAUCUCCAAAAGUUUUGUCAUCUCAAUCAACCUUCGAGGGAAAAUCAUCGCAAGAAAGCUUCUGUUGUUUGGGUCACUGAGCGGCUCUUGUUUCUUGACCAAAUCGCUGCAACAUUAAGUGUCAGCAUGGAAGAAGUCAAAAGGAUUUAAAAUAAAUCAACACAAACUUUCAGAGGCUCGUUGACAUGACUGAUAACGGGAGGCCAUCAUGGGGCAAAAGCCAUGUUCAUCCAGACACCUUCCAAACGGACCAAGAUGAGAAACAGAAGAACAUGGAGAUUUUGCAAUUUGAGCUGAGGCAGGCAGGAGCUCUUUGGCAGAAGAGGAGGCCUCCCAAGGGGCUUGGAGGUGAACAGCAGAGCCACCAAGGACAGUGUGCAGGAAUCAGAGUGAUGUUCUCUCUCAUGGGAAGAGAAAGCCGUACAGCAACUACACCAGGGCAGAACCCUCCAUGGGAGAUGACAGCCUGUAAACUGCUGGGACUACCAGAAAACACAAUAAACACCGUGAACCACCGGAAGGAGCCCGCCAGCUGCAGAAAGGCAGCAAGAGGAUCAAAAGAGCAAUGUCCCAGGAUUCAGGCAUACAACACACUUUCCUCUAUUGGAGCUCAUCAUUCCAUAACUCCAGAAAUUGCAAUAUAAACUUUGGCUACUAUGCAUGCUUCAACUUGAAAACACAGCAGUGAUCUGGAAUUUUAAUUCGAGCAAAUUUGAAAGUGGAUUAGAAAUAGGAUCCAGCUGUAUCUCUAAUAGUCAAAAGACAAAUUAGCAGAACAUUGGAGUCGAAAUGAACUCCGUCUUUCUUUUUGCAUUUUCCCUCCUUUUGCUUAGACCUAAAAUACCAUAAUUAAAUUGUCAUUUGUUCCUUACCUUGGUAGAAGCUCUCCCCAGCUGAACACAUCUCAGUUUCCAUCCUAAGCAUUUACCUACAGCACAGGGUUGGGGGAGGAUGGGGUUAUUACUUGUUUGAAGAAAUUAGAAAUCAGAGGUAUGCGCAGUCUGUCUGUUAUAGUCUUCAGCGUGCGUGUUGCCAGGCUCUACAGGUUAUACAUCAUUAGCGCACAGAGUGUCCAGGAGAGCCCAAAGCUUGUGCAGGUGUGUUGGCAAAGCUCACACCACUUCCCUCCCUCCUCCCUCUCUGCUGCACUUCCAGCAAGCCGAUACUUGAAACUCGAUGUGGCAAAAUCGCAAAGAGCUCUUCUAAACUUUGUUAGCUCGAAGCUCACCCAGCAGACGUGACUGUGAGAUGGCGCGUGGAACCUGGAAGGGACUCACUGGAAAAACAAAACCAUUGAGUCAAAAGCUUAGUGUGUUUUUCCAUGAUUGUAUGAAAAAAAAAAAAAGUGCAUGUGUGUUUUUUUAAGCGCUUUCAGAUAUUAGAAGUUUAGUGAACACAGAGACAGUUUCUUCUGUUUUUUCUUUUCCCCUGCCCUUGAACUUUCGGAAUGACUAUAGGGAAUAUAUUCCAGCCUGUUUUCAAUGACCCAUUCAUAUGGUGGUUUUAUUUCAGCUUUUCCCAAAAGGGAACAAGCUCCAUUCUAUCUCUGCUCCUGGCAUUAGCUGCCAUUAUUUGUGCAUCCCACUCAGAUAAUCAAUAAAGUGGAUGGCAUCUGAAAAUAAUUAUAUACA